rnacentral:ncRNA from 1 species
CGAGGAAUUCCCAGUAAGCGCGAGUCAUUAGCUCGCGUUGAUUACGUCCCUGCCCUUUGUACACACCGCCCGUCGCUACUACCGAUUGAAAGUUUUGUUUUAGUUAGUUGUUAAUUGUCACCCACAGAUGUUGGAGCCCAAACACGGCACCCACGGCACGGGCUCGCUGAUGGAACCGGC